GAAAAAAAGUUUAACGCCUCCUAUUCCUUUUCAAAGGUCGUCUUCUUCAAAACCCCAUACAUACAAAUUCCGAUCUCCUUUCUCUCCUACUCCACACUCCGAAACGCAAUACCUUCUUUUAUAAAGAAAACUCCUAAAGCUUCCGCAUCUUCUUAGCCAUCAUUCCGGGCUAAGGAGGGGGAAAGGUUGCUUCCGGAAAAGGCUCCUGGUAACAGAUCCAGUGA
rnacentral:misc_RNA from 1 species